rnacentral:tRNA from 2 species
UGGGAUGUCGCCAAGUGGUAAGGCAGUGGGUUCUGGUCCCACCAUUCGGGGGUUCGAAUCCCUCCAUCCCAGCCA